UUCAUUUUAGACUCUGGUUCAAAACAUCCAUUGCCAUGAGAUAAUGGCCAUAACAUCUGAUGGACCUCGUUUUCCCAAAGACACGGAAAUGGAUUAGGUAGGGGUGACUCUGAAUCACUUGCAUUGAGUCUACUUCAUGUGAAGUCCCCAAGGUCAGUUGAAGGUUGUCUGGUGAUCAGCUAGAUAAUUCCAAAUACUUGACCCGAGGCUAGAUGCUUGAGGAGGGUAAUUCAAGAGGCCCAACUGUUGUAUAUUGUCUCCCCACAUGGCAAAACCUGUUUUAUCACGAUGAUAAAAAAAAAAAAAAAAGUGUUUAAUUAAGGUAGAUAAUGCAACUUCAGCCAAUAGGGUGUGAGACAGCGAGAGGUGAAGAUAGAGUAACAUACAUUUCUUGUCCAUGGGAUGAUGGCCAUCUAGUAUAUACGAACUUCAAUUUUUAGCCACAUUGAAGAAAGUUGGCCUCUCAUUAAGACACUAUGAUCACAUUUAGAAAUCUUAAGGAAUUUUGAGAAUGUAUCAAUGCCUUGCAUAAUUCCAUUUAGAAAUCUGAGUCCCAGAAAGGUGUUGAUGCCGAAGUCCCAAAAUUUAAAAUUUUGAGACUCUAUUAUUGUCUAUUCUCCUGCCACAGUAACAAGAUUUCUUUACAAUGAACAGUCAUUAUAAUUUCACAUAUGCUAAUGCUAGCAUAAGCCACUUUGAGAAAACAAUUGAUCCUUGGAUUAUUACCAAUCUCAAAGGAAUUGAAGAAGGCUAGAUGGUCAAGGUCCAAAGUUCUUGAUGACAUUUCUAGUUCGCCAAUCGAUGACAAUAUCAUACGUGAAACAAAAGACAUGAAGUCUGAAACAUUCAAAAUCAAAAGCAUUUGUUUUAAUUCUUUAGCAAGAAAAAUAACAUAAUGGAUCUUAUUUGUAUGAUUAUCAAGUUUAACAACACGCCAUUGCCUGACUCCUUAAUUGGCUUCCAAGAUUUAAAUAAUUCAAAGACACCAUUAUGUUUAAUUCCAAUAUAAAAGACUAUCAAAGAAGGGGUAUAUAAAUUUGCUUGAAAUUUAUGCAAGAUAACCAGUCUGAUUGUGGGAGAGUUAACAAACCUCUAAUUUUUUGUCGACAAAAUCUCGUUAAUUGGAUUCCUGAAAAACGUAUUAAAAAUAAGUAAACACUCAUCAUAGUUAAAAUCCAAAUCCCGAGUCAAAAGAAGAUUGUUUAUUGUAGAACUAAACACAAUUACUAAACCUUAUAAUGCAAGAACGCAAGAUUGUCCUCGAACACAUUUCCCAUCUUAUCAUAUUCAAUUUAUGGCCUUCCUACAUAACUGCAUUUUAUAUUUGAAAGGUAAAUUAGACAUUUUUUAUGUGAGUAAUAAGAAAGUAAAUGCCAUGAAAGGCAAACCAUACAAGAAAAGAAGUUGUAAACAUAUAAGAGUGCUUACUAAUCACUGUUGAAUGAUAUGUUAAUUGUCUCUCUUUGAAUCUACAAGAGUUUAUAUUUUGUGAAUCAUAAUAUGCCACCAAGAAAAAUGCCUCCCAGGGUUAAACCCAUAAACACCUUGAUGGAUUAGACAAAGUCUCGUACUAAGAUGCGAAAUCAAUUUUGAUAUUAUUUAUAACCUUUCAAUCUCUUUUGUGCGGACAUUGUCCACUUUGAGUUCAAUGAAUCCUCACAACCUAAAAAUGUGUUUAUCCUAUUGAAUAGAAACUCUCUGUAUUUAUGAUGUUGAUUUAUAAAGAUGAAGAAAUUGUUUUAAAUUUUGUUUUACGAGUCAAUGGGACCACGAAAAAGGAAAACAAAAAGGAAAAAGUUAGUAGAUGUUGACUAAAAUGGAUUAAAAAAACACACACACACACACUCACAAAUAUUAAAAAUUCCUCAACCGAUUGAGAAAAUUCCUUAACCGGUUGCCACUGGUUAAAAAAAUCUUCAACCAGGCCGGUUGAGAAAAUUCCUCAACCGGUUCCCUUUAUUCCUCAACCGGUUGCCACUGGUUAAAAAAUUCCUCACCCGGUUGUUACAAUUCCUCAACCGGUCUCCACUACCUUCACAAGUCGUACCUAUGAUUCACACCAUAACCUAUAGUCUUACAGGUACUAACUAUAUAAUUUUUAGCAUAGAUAAAUGAAUAUAUAUAUAUAGGAACAAAAAAAAAUCUAAUUAUCUAAAAGAUCAUACAAAAUCAAACAUGUCGAACAUGAAUGAUGCCUAUAUAUUACAAUUUCAAUUUGCAGACCAUAUUGAAAGAAGAGUAUAGAAAAUCAAAAUAAAACGGACUUAAUGAUGAAUAAUGUAUGGUCAUCCAAGGUAAGAACUUCCCAAUAAACAUGACGAUAUGUGGAGAUGGAAAUUAUAAAUAUUAGAAAAACAACAAAUAUCAUAAUAAUAAUUUUUCCAUUGCUCAUGUCGACAUCUUUGUACAAAUAAUAGCGACGAUGGUUUGCUUUUCUCUAUUGCCUCCGUGUAAAACUAAAUCACUUGUUAUUUCCCGACGUAGUUUAACAGAAUUACAUAAGUCGGAGACCGUCAUGGAAUCACCAUUGUUGAAUGUCUGCAUAUGUUUAAUGACAUGCACUACACAAUUCCACCUAAGAAAAAUAAAAGAAAAGAAAAACAACUUAUUGAAUGGUUGUAUAAUUAUAGCUCAGAUAAACAAUAGUAAUGUGAGUUAUGUAUUCAUACUAACCCAUUCUCUUGGGUCGGAAUCGAAGGAGCCCAAUCAAUGGAGAAUUGGAAGACAUCUGUCCCUAUGUCAUACAGUUUGAAGAACGUUUGACAAAAUUCAACCUAAUUUAUUAUGAAAGUGUUAAUAAAUAUGGAAGAGAGAAAAAAACAGAAUAAAAGGAAAAUAUAAACAUUAAAGCAUACCACUGUUUUGACACUCUGAAACUGGAACUUGUCUCGAUUCUUCGAUUGUAAUGAAUCCAAAAUUUGGAUAUGAGAGUUUUUGAAGUCAAUGACGCACAAAUACCAAUGACUAGGGCAUUCGUCAUGCAUUGGAAUAAAUAGUUGUAAAGUUAGAAAAACAAUAUAUAUGAGUUGGGGCACAAAAAAUCUACUAUAUUAUAGGUGAAAACAAUAUCUAUUCUAAAUUUCAUAUAUGCAAUUAAACAUUAGAAAUAAUUACUAACCUUCUCGCAAUCAUCUAAUUCGCUAAUGUACUUACUCCCGAUGGAUGUUUUUCUAUCAAAAAAAUGAUGAGGAGUCCCGCACAAAAUCAUUUGCUAAUAAUAAAACAUAAUAUGAACAUUAGUAUAUUGUACUUAAUACGUAAGUAAACAAGAAGAGAAAUAUGAGCUUACUGAAAAUGUCGUGGGAAGAUAACAUCUUAUACUUGCAAUGCCUAUAAAUUGCCUCUGAAAAUAAUUUAGCUUUGAGGCUUCUAGUUUUAUUACCUGUUGUUAAACAAUAACUUCAAUAAAUUAAUUUAAUUAAUUUAGCACACAAUUGAAAUAAAUGAAGUAGGUACUUACAACAUCCAUCAAAUUUUGUCUAGGGCGUAAGCACUCAAAAUCUCCACGAAUUCCAUGUUCAUGAUCAAAGUUAACAAGAAGCUCACUAAAAUAAUAAUAUGUUAAAACAUUCUUUACUAAAUUGGAAGCAUAUGAAGGCUAAAAUUGUAACAAGACAUCUAUUAAUAUUCUAGACACUACAAACCUUUUUAACAAUCCUUUAUUGAAAACAUAAUUAGCAACAAGAGAUUGAAGUACAUUGAAUGAUUGACCAUCCACCACGUCUUCACGAAUGGACAUGGGGAUUGACUAAAUUGAAAACAAGACAUAAUUAUUACCUAUAUAUGUUGAGUAUCCAAAAUAAGAACAUGAUAUUAAACUAUUUGUAUUAAACCUCUGAUGCUUGACGUUUUCCCAUCUUCCUUAAAUUGUGUACAAACGGGGAGACCUUGAAUUUACUUGGUUUCCUCUCCCUUAAUGUACAUGUUUUCAUGACAUGAUCGGGAUAACCACAUAGUGCUCAUAAUGGUUCCUAAUAUGGAAAAUACCAUUAAUAUACAUCUAUUUACUAUGCAAUGGUUAAGUAGUUGUAAAGAAAAUAUUUUUUUCUUUUAUAUGAUACAUACCUUUCCAUAAUCUCUUCUACUCCUUUUGAUUGGAAAUGGUAAAAUAUCUACAUUUUCGUCUGGAAUGAUAUGCACUUCAAUUGAUGUAGCACAUGCAUCUUCAUUCUUUCCAUUCAAGUCCUCAGUACAUAACUUCUCAAUUGUAAAGAAAAUAUUUUUUUCUUUUAUAUGAUACAUACCUUUCCAUAAUCUCUUCUACUCCUUUUGAUUGGAAAUGGUAAAAUAUCUACAUUUUCGUCUGGAAUGAUAUGCACUUCAAUUGAUGUAGCACAUGCAUCUUCAUUCUUUCCAUUCAAGUCCUCAGUGCAUAACUUCUCAAUUGACAAAGUGUGAACAUAAUGUUCAUUUCCAUUCUUAUUGUCCUUAUCUUCAAAACUUCUCUCACACGAGAGAAUGUCAUUCUUCGUUCCCUUGUCGUGCAUUCUCAAAGGUUUUUCGCUUGAUCCAACGAAGAGACCUUUCAAUGUAGUAUAUUUCUCCUCAAAUUCAGUCAAAACUUUUUCACACCUACUACUUGGACCAUGAGACAAAUCAAUUAGAUGUGUCUUUAAUUGUUCAAAGGUUUUAUCCAUCUCCAUUAAGCUCCCACCGUGUUCCUAGUGAUAUAUGGGAACUUCAUUAAUAACAUAAUAAUACAAGGGUUCACUACUAAUAUUGAUACUCAUGAUGAAUAUUGUAAAACGUACUCGUUUAAUAACAUCUUUAUUUGGAUUGAUUUCAAAUUUCUGCUCCUCCUCAUUCUCUCUCUCCAUUGUCAUCGCAUUUCUAUCAACACAAUCCCUUAUCUCAUUUUGUAUCACCCAUAUUUUGACCUACAAUAUAUUCAUCAAAAUAUAACACAUAUCAAAUUAAAAAUCACUAAAAACUUAAACCAAUAUUAAAAGACUUUUGAAACUAUAACUUACAUUGUCAUUUGCAUAUCCACCGACUUUUUUCAAUCUUCGUUUCAUGUCCAGUACUUGAUCAUCUCCCCAAGCAGUAAUCCGAGGACAAGGUCGAGUAUAUAAUGGUAGAAAUUUCUCUUCGAACGAUAUAUGCUUGUGGUAGAAUAACUGCAAUUAUAUUUGACAUACAUAUAUAGUUAACAAAUUUUAUUAUAACAAAUUCGAAAUUCACUAUGAUGUCGAUUAAUUAUAAGGACAUUACCAUUAAAAACAAUAAGCAAUCGCAAACCCCACUUUGUUGUUUCAUCUUAAACUCUUCAAUCCCAUGCACAAGAUAAGACAACACAAAUUCAGCCCAAUUCAUCUUCUUUAUUGAAUCAAUGUCUUCCACAAGAUGUAAGAAAGAACGUUUCACAAAAAACUUCAUUGUUGGGCACAAUAAUGCACCCAACACAAAUAAUACAAAACGAACUUUGAAAUCGUUUCCACCUUCUUUAUCCUCCCUAAUUUGAUUUUCUAACAUCACUAAUGGCAAUUGCCCCUUUUUAUCACAAUAUUUUUUACAUAAAUCAUUGUUAUGGCUAACAUCUUUGUUCAUGCCAAUCUUCAACCCUCUUGCCCUCAAUCCCAUAAUAAAUUCAACAUCAACGGAGGAUAAUUUGAUACAAGUAUUAUACAACUUUCACAUAUAAGUGUUCGGGUUGAAACUAUUUAUCAACCAAAGACAUAACCCAUGAUCAAUUUUCCUACAUCGGAGUUGCAAGAGGCUACCAAAACCUAUUUCUUCUAUGGCUGCUCUUUGCUUUGGUUCUAAUUCUUCAAUAACUCUAAUCACUCGUUCGGGUGAGCAUUGAGUCUGAAGAUAUAACUGAAAAAAUACACAAACAUCAAACAUGUUUAAAUUAAUAUAAUUUCCAACAAAUACAUAAGUAAUGAAAUUAAAUAUUCAUUACAAAAAAAUUGCCUUUGGAGCCACACCCUUUUGAAGUCAAUAUUGUUUUGAACUUUCUUUGGACUUUGCCAUGAAAUCUUAUUUUUCUACUUUUGAAAGUUCAUUCCACUUCUUGCCCAAUUUUUUCCUCAACUACAUUAAUUGGUCACAUACUUUAAAUUCUAAUUUUAAAAUGUAAUUAUAUUAGACACAACAAUAUUACUCCUUACAUCAUCAUUUAUCUUAACUCCUUUAUCCUUCUCUUUGAUCAUGACCAAUUGAUCGUUACUACAAAACAAUUUCAAACAAAUUUAACUAUAAUAACCACAAAAAAAUACAUUAAAAAACAUAUUCUUUUACAUAUUUCUAUUUUUCCUUACUAGUAAUGUAUCCAAACUCCAAUAGGCCUCUUUGGAUUUCGAACAACUUCAACAACAUUGCGUUCGCUCCUAUAAAUUAAAUCAAAUCAUUUAAGUCAAUUUUUAUAAUAUGAUUUCAAAUAUAAUAAAUCAAACAUACUUUCACUACCACUACAAAAUCCUCCCUAAAUCUAUGUACAUUUUAAAUGGUCACAAAAUUAUCAUAUCAAUUAUUUUCAAUCUCCAAUUAUGGAUUUAACCACAUUAUUUUUCAUUAAUGUCAUUGAUCCAUAAAUCUCACAAAAAACAUGAAAUAUAAUGGCUACAAUAUUGUAAAACACAUUAUCAAUACUCACAUUUUUUUUCCUUAAUAUAGAACUCGACAAAUAAUUACGACACAACCGUCUUUCGAUUAACAAAAAAUUGUGUCCUUUUUAGCUUUCUUUCUCUUAGUACUACACAUCUUCUUCUUCUUCUUCUUCCAGUUAUGUCUUCAAUUCGGGUUUUCAAACCACGAAAUUUAAAAGCCGAAAACACCCCUUAAACAAAAUAUAAAAUAUGAAGAAAAUACAAGGGUUAUGGAGAGGAGAGGGGGAAUGGGAAUAUCGUACUCUUUACUUCAAAACCCGAAAAAACCCCAAAUAUGAAAACUAAAUAUGGACAUAAUCAAAGGGGGUGCGAGAAAAUACAGAACUCGAAAAGAUGCCCCUCGAAACGGCUACAAUAUCUCACCCGAAAACACCCAAUAACACAAAAACAUCCAACAAUACAUGAAGACAAUUGAAAGCGCCUGAAAAUAACAGUCGAUGGAGAUGAGCAGAAAACACAAGUACUUGGAGAAGAACCGAGUAUGGAGAAGAGAGGAAAAUAGACGAAAAUAUCGGGAAACUCGGUAAAAAAGGGAGAAAACAGAAACUAAACUGAAGAUUAAUGGUGAGAGGGGUCUCUAUCUCCUUCUUUAGUGCUUUCUUUCGCCCAUUUCUUCAUUGUCUCGCAUUUGGCUCUUAGGUUUCUUCCGAAGAUAGGAUUUCCUUUUUUUUUUCUGGAGUAGACUCUGGUUUUUAGGUUGGUUUUGAGUGUAUUACGGGGUUGUUUGAGGUGGGUUUUGGAAGAUUAUGAGAUUGUGAGCGAAGAUUGAGAGAGGGUUGUGAUUGUGGAGUCGGGCUGGUGAUGAAUUUGGCACUAGACACUCCUUGAAUGAAGAGAGGCAAAGAGAGGAAACUCGACCCGACUGUCGAGGAUGAGUGGAGAUCAGAGCACGGGGACACAGCCGACUAUGGAGGAGAAGACGGUUGCCUAUGGAGGAGUGUGGAGAUGAGAGCACGAGACACAGCCAACCAUGGAGGAGAAGACGCUCAACUAUGGAAGAGAAAAGAGGGGAAAAAUGGGAAAAUGGGGGCUAAGAGGGGGAGAGAACAUGUAGAACAGGAAGGAAGAGAGAGAACAAACGGGAAAAUAGGCUGAGAGGGGGAGACAACAAGUAGAACAGGAGGGAAGAGAGGGAACAAACAAGAAAAUGGGCUGAGAGGGGGAGACAACAGGUAGCCAGUUUUUUUUUUUUUUUUUCAUUUUUUCUUUUUCUUUUGAAUGGCUGAGAUUUAAUAUCUUUCAUCCAAUGGCUACAAAAAAUCUGAGGCAAGUACCUCCCUCGACACCAUAGAAUUUUUCUAUAUAUAUAUAUAUAUAUAUAUAUAUAUAUAUAUAUAUAUAUAUAUAUAUAUAUAUAUACAUUUUCAAAAUUUCCUAAGGCACAUUUUUCAAGCUUAAGAUUCACAGGGCAAUAAUAUUGUAAUCUUGAUGUAAAAUGCAAGUGAGAUGGAAGGAGUAAUUAAUUUGUUUUAUUAUUCACCAUUUUUACAUGUUAAUAUAUAUAUAUAAUUCACCAAACACGUGUUUGAUCAUGUUUUCUAUGCUUGUUUUUAAAAACUAUUUUUAGUAUUUUAUAAAAAUAAAGGUAUUUAACAAAUUAUUUUUAAAACCAGUUUUUAAAAAUAAAAAAUAAAAACUAAAAAUCUUGUUUAAAUAAAUUAUUAAAUUUUUUUUUAAAAAAAAACAUUGUAAAUUCAAUAUAAUAUGAAUUCAACAAAAAAAACUUGUAACUUUUUUUAGGUUUCGAAAAUUUUGAGGGAAAUAAAAUAAAAAGAAAAAAAUACAAGAAAAUAAAAAAAAACUUUGCGGAAGUAAAUUUUCUCUUCCUUUUAAUUAAAAAAUUAUUAAGAAAUCAAAAUCUUAGCUGGAUCAUUGAGUCAGCGUGGGACUUCAAAACUAGCACAUGUGCAUGCCAUUAUUUAUUUAUUUUUGUACUUUCAAAGCAUAUUAUUUUUAUUUUCAAUAUUUUAAGAUGACGCAUUUUUCAAGCUUAAGAUUCUCUUUAUAAUUGUUGUUGGUUGUAUCAAGAUUAAUUUAAAUUUUAGAUAAAACUUAACACAACUUACAUUCAAUUUAUUAAAUUUGAGUUAAUAAUAUUAGACAAUAGAAUUAGCAUGUGAUCUUUUUUAUUUUAUAAUUAUGGCCGGCUUGAUUCUUAUAAAUAUAAAUAUGAAGAUUAAAUUAAAAAAUUAGAUUAAACUCGAUUUAAUAAAACUAGCUUAACUUUUUUGUUUCUUAUAAUUAUGGUCCGCAAGCUUAUUGUCGAUUUGGGAUGACAAUGGAUGAGUUUUUUUUUUUUCCUAUACUUGUGUUUAACAAGAUAGAUUUGAAAUUUAAAUAAACGAAUUAGAAGUAUGUGGACCCCGUAUUUCAGCUCAUGCGUUUCCACUCGAUGGCGAGCUCGAUUUUUUUAUUUAAAAAAUGAUUUUUAUUUAUUAGAAAAUGACUUGGAGUCACCACUUAUUUUGUUUUAUUUUUUAAAAGGGUAAAUAAAAUAAGAAAGAAAACUCUAAAUGUGACUCAUUGUUUUGGAAAAUGUGGUGUGUGAAAAACCAGAUCGGCCUCGGGGAUCAGGUUAAUUAUCGAGAAGGUACAGUAAAGACUAUAACACCCCUCUAAGUCCCUAAAGUUGAGUAUUUACUAAUAAAAUGAAGCUGAUGUGACAAUCAAUAAGUAAAUCAAUGGAUACUCAAAUCGAUCAUGCACAUAUGGAAAUCAGAACAUGCAUAGAGAAUGAUCAGAGUGAGAGUUGGUGCGUACCUGGGCAACGAGCCACCAUACGCUAUCAAGAAGUAAAGUUAGUAUACAAAUAAUGGACAUAAAACAUAACUCACAUGUCGCUAAAUUAAGUACGAAGUCAUCACAUGUCACAAUUCAAUCAAAUGGGUUUUCAAAGGAAACAUCCAAUAAUGUUGGGCCCCACCAAAACCCAUUUAUUUUGCAUGAACCAAUUCCAAUAACUCCAUUAUUCGGAAUUACAGGAUUAAAUUUAUGCUUAUUUUAAAACAUUUUAAAAAAACGAGGAAAAUGUAAAAAUGGCUUGUCGAAAAGAACAUAACAACCAAUAUUUUUAUUGAAAGAGAUGGAUUUUUGGGAUUUAAAAAUUCUAAAGAUGAAAAAUUGGAAGAUUCGAAAUUAUUUGAAAACUAGAAUUUGGAAAAUCAUUCACAAAAUAUUUUUAAAAAAAUGAGAGGAUGAAAAAGUAGAUGAUGACACAUGACCCAAAAGUUGCAUACCAAAUGUGGUCAUGCAACCGGAAGCAUGCAGGGGCGGGCCUUGAGUAGAAAGUCAACCUGAAGCACAACUGAAUUGAUGAGAUCUGCAUAACUCACUGUCAGAAUUAAUGACAUGCACCUCGCGGGUGCAGUUGCAAAAGUUUGAUCGCAUGUGCUGUAUGAUGCAGAUUCAUAUCCCCCAUAUUCCUGCUUUGCAUUUUCUCUAACACAUUUCUUCAGAAACACAUCCAUUUGACUCUCAAACCCAUAAGAUAUAUCUGCCAGCAUAGGAGGAUUAGGAAUUGAUGCAGAAGCAUGAUGCAUCACACCAAAAUCAAUAAAUGGGUGACCAAAGUGUUCAGAGUUGUAGCAACAGUCACAAUCCAAGCAAAAAUCUCCAAGCGGGACAAAACCAUAUUUCACUACCUUUAACAGUGAUUUUCAAUGGAUGAUCAAGAUCAUGUAACUCCAUAAAAAGAAAAUUAGCAGGGAACCACUGAUCUAGAGAAUGGUUGCCUUUAUGACUACUAGAAAAAUUAAAUCCAUCUUCAUUCAUCUCUGCCAGCUUGCCCAGAUCCCCUAAGUCCCUAAAAAAAAAUCAUUUCCUUCCACAUUAGGUAAUGUAUCAUCCACAUUUUGAGCAUGGCUGGGUUUAUCCACCUCAUUUUCAUCAUUCUCAAUGGAAACAAGGAUGUUAUAUUCUUCAAACAUGUCAAGCAUUUGAUAGAAGCUCAUUAUCAUCUGGAAGCUCAUAAAUAUCACCAUCUAGAACUGAUGGAAGCGCCAUGUCAGUAGAUGGAAGACUUCGAGAUGGACCUGAGUUAGAUGGAAACCCAAUAGGUGCGUCCUCAGGGCCAACCGUGUCUCUUAAAAUGGAAUUGCUUUGGCUGUCAUUAAGAAUUUCAUGUGAUGAUUCAGCAAGGUGACAUGCCUGGAAACUAAUUGAAGUAACGGCGGCAACAGGUCUUUCCUUCUCAACAGUCUCAGUUUUCAGCUGACUAUGGAGAUACCGAACUGAUCAACAUAAAACCAACAAGAAAUGCUCUACUCCCUGAAUAUUUCCUGACGUAACCUCCUUCAGAAUACCAUCGGGCAAAGCAAGAUUCGCAUACUAGGUAUCUGAAACUUGUAAGCUUUCCCCUGGACCAAACCCCUUAACGUGCCAGUCGUAUUCCACUCUCAAUCCAUUUGCAUCAGUGGCCUUGAACUUGUGCAGCGUACACUCCGGCGACAAAGAAGUUUCCGACGCAGCUUCCUCGUAGUUUUCAAAAGACCGACGCGUCAGCAUGCGAGGGUUUUCAUCAACGGCGAAUGCCCAGACCCGACUGGCAAUGAGCUUAUGGUAUCGGACGUCGACAGAAUCAUGAUUAUCAAUGAGAACAGUCGCCAGAUUGACGCACAGAAUCUUGCAGGGGAAAAGAUCAAAAGUGAAAAUUCUUGCGAUGGAUGGGAGUAAGAAAGAACAUCAUUCCUUAGUGGGGACCUCUGGAAUCUCUAACCCUUGCCAUAAUUUAUCUGUCUGUAUAAAAUUCCGACGGUGCUGGUAUCGAAUCUUGUCUGUCAGCAUUUAGAAAUGGCUCAUAGUGGCAGGCUCUGGCUCUGCAUCUGAACAAUCACAAGUGCCGAAAAUGAAAAACCCAGCCAAGAUUAAUAAUAGUGCUACUGCUAUUAGCGCUGGCUGAUGGCGUCGAUGGAGACGAGAACAAGGCCUAAGGAAUAGUGGGAAAAUUUGCACUGACACUGACGUAUUCAUGUUUGCCAUUCUUCAAAGCGGUGGAAAAGAAUGCACCGAUCUGCUCAUGUACGUCUUCCAAGCCAUUCACCACAUAGGAAUAUCCACGUCGACACCUUGGCUUUUUCUGGAUUACUAUUGGGACUAGUCUUGAGGGGGCCAGAGGCACCAGAUCAGUAAUAUCCUUCAAUGUUGAAUGCACACGUGAAAGAACUUGGUCUUCCCUUGCAAGACCACGUGGCUGCUUCAGUAAAUCCCCGUUGACAGUAGCUUCUCAUUGUCCUGUCCGAACGCUCGUGUUCACCAUUGAAAUCAGUGCAAAUGGGUCAUCAACUGACUGGUACCGUACUAAUAAGGCUUACAUCAAUCUCGGGAGUGUAGCUGUUGCUCACCACAUGGAAACACCCAUCUCCGCACCUGGGCAUUCUCUGACCUAACCAUCUCCAAAACGGUUGAACAUUUGUCAUUUGCAUUACGCUGGUGCACCUGAUUUUGAAAAAUAUUCCCAGAACUGUCACGGAUUAUACAUCUUUUCGAAUGAAGGUAUUUGGGCUGCCUCUAACUGAUAGAUAUUGGACUCACAAUGUCUCUUGCAGCAAUUGCUAUCUCACAUGUGCCAAUUUCUUUAAUUUGUACCCAUUUAUGGGCAUCUCCAUGAAAGGGUCUUUACUGACUUUAAGUAGCUCUUUCAAAGGCCAACCUAUGGAUUACUUGGGUGCAAUUGUGAGCUCCAUCUGGUAUUGCUUGGAUCUUACCGGCAAUGCAAGGACUGAAUCAUUACGAGCAGCAAGUUCUUCCAUUAAAAGCCCUUUUUGCCUUAUUUAUAACCAGUUUCCGCAACUUAGGAACCUCAUCCAGAAAUCUAGUCUUGAUCCAACAAAUCUCGACGUUCAAAGCAAGCACAGAUGCUCAAUUUUUCCCGUUGAAUGCAGUCUUCGUUUUCUAAAGAACGACUUCGAUGCCGGCUUCAAUGAUGGCGCCCGGAUGAACGAAAACGUCAUCACCGGGACAUUGGGACUCUUCUGCUUAUCGAUGCCACACUUGUAGCAGUUCAUGCACAAUAGCUUCAGAUCUGUCUAAGAGAUUACAGCCUGCAUGCAAGGUGUUUCCUCCAGCAAAUGCCGAAAUCCUGUGGUGGCGUUCCUGUAAAUGCUGAAUAGGAAGAGUGAGCAUCGCUUUUAUUCCAAGAAUCUGUGCGAAUACGCUGAGACGAGCCAACUCAACCCAGUUCGACACAAAGAAAGGAUGAUUUGUUUUAAACCCAAAACUCAUCUCUCUAUCAACCAACAACUGCGCAUGAAGGGCAUGUGGUGUAGAGAGAGAAAUGUGGUGAUAUGCAUGGGGGCAUAGAAGGUGACCAUGGGUGUACGACUCUCAGAAGCAUGAGUAAGGAAUGGGUAUGGGCAGCAUGAAGGAUGGGUAUGGGUAGUAUGAAAGAUAGGUAUGGGGGGUGAGUAUGUUUGGUAGACUUGAAGAAAAAUGGGUAUGAAGAGCAUAUGGUAUAGAGAGAUGAAUGAGUGGGGAAUGGGUGGUGAGCGAGUUAGUGAGAAGAAUGGGUAUGAAUGUGAACGGGGUGGAUGGAAAUAUAUCAAUGAGAGAGAACGGGUAUCUGGGCAUGCUGAAGUAUGGGGAUGAAGGUGGCCAUGCGCAAUAGUCUCUACGUACGUGGAUAGGAAGUGAGCAAUGGGUGUGGGAAUGAAGCGGGUUGUUGCAGUGGAUGUGAAGGAUGAGGAACGAGUAUGAGGGAUGAGUUUGGAGGAUAGGUAGAGUGGAUUUGAAAUAUGAAUGGUGAACGGAGAUGUAGAGAAGGGAAUUUAAUAGAUGGGUGGAUAAUGAAACAAACUUCCCGGCUGCGUCUUCAUACCCUGAAUUCAGGUUAGCAUCGUCAUAGCCACCUCGCAUGUGCAUACGCAUGUGGCGGCCUUCUUUGUCAACAACCCCACGAACAUGGUGCUGCCUCCACACUCAGCGAGUGAGUGAUCAAUCAGGCGCAGUAGGGCAGGGGGUAUAAGCUGUUUCAAAGCCCCAAGAACCAUAUCCCACGACACUAUUCCAUCUGAGUCUGAAUGCAUUGAUUAAACUGGGCCAUCCACGGACACAGCCUGUGACAUGAAGUUUAGUGGCAGUGAUAGCUUGAUAGUGAGGGCAUGCUUCCUAGAUGGGUCCAUGACUUCUUCAUUGGGUCGUGAACCUCAUACCCACCAUCGCGGCCCACCCACAGGGCCUUGUAUCCAUUACCAUCAAUUUCAACAAAUGGAAUUUCAAACUCAAGUGAGUCCACUGAAGGUAAACAAACGCUUUGCCACCUGAUAUUUAAGAUACUACCAUGUGUCAACUGCAAAUAGAUUGCUGCUUCCCCUUAGUGCUGAGGGGACUCUACUAAACCCAAACGUCCUGAGUUGUUGACAAUCUUUUGUGAGACUCCUUUCAUCCUAAAAAAAAAAUAACCUCUAUCUUCGUGCACAGAAGAACUCCUUCUUUCAAAGUCCUAGUCAUGAUUUUUUUCCAGUAGAAGUAGGUAUCAGGACAUCCAACGUCCUUUUUGACCUGUAUGAGAUACUCCUUGGAAUACCGGUCUGAAAAGAGUAAUUGAGCACGGGCUUAGCUCCAGCUACUAUAAAUCUUCUAAUCUCUUUAGGAAUGCAUCAGAGGAAAUGUUCCUAUGGAGCACUAAAGAUCUUAGGUGGUUCAGUUCCCAAACCCAACUGCUCCCCAAGAAGAAAUCAGUCUUUCAAAUUUAAUGGGAUAAGAUUGCAGGAAGGGGAAUCUGAUCCAAGAGCAUUUAAAUAAGAUCCAGGAGGUGUAUAUGCAUUGGCCUGAGCAUUCGGUGACUCUUUUCUGUAUCAUAACCACUAAGAGAGGAGCCGUCUCUUUCACGCAAACUAGAUUUCCAUUUUCAGCUUUUCAAAUUUCGUUCAACUUUAAAGAGACCCGGUAUUUAGAUCCACAAAGCAACAGUGAAAACAACCACCAUUUCUAGCUCAAUUUUUGUUUUUGUUAGGUAUAGGCAACCUCCAUUCUUAUCAGUAUUCCCAUCGCUGGUGGACAGCAAUUCCGAUUAACAUUAAAAUGCAGAAGCAGUUUGAAGAUAGAAAAUGAAUGUAAAUAUAUAAUAUUACACAACAUUAAACUCCCUUUUGCCCUGGGUCUCCCCUGAAAAUAUUAAAACGAAAAAACUACAUUUUUUGCAAUAGUAGGGACUUGAACCCAAACCAAUUAUUAUCCAUUUUAACAAUGACAAUUCUGAAUCAUUAGGUUAAAACCCACAUUUGUUUCACGGAUUAUCUCCUUGAACUAAAUUGCUAAAAGGUUGGUUUUUGUUUUUUGAUUAAAUUAAAAAAAUCAAAAUAUAUUCAAUUUAAUUAUAUUGAUUGAUAUAAAUAAAUACCCAAAAGUGAAACAUAUAUAGUAAAAGUUUUUCCAUUGAACUACUGUGAUACAAGGUUUGCAAAAAAUAGGCAAGUAGCAAUAGAAAUUAUUAUAAAAUCAUUGGUUUAUAAAAAUAUUAAAAUAAAAGUAUUUUAGUCAUAUCUUAAAUGAAUAGUAGUCAGUCCUUUAUAUGAAAUAAAAUAUAUUUCUCUUUUUAUAUGAAAUUGGUGGGGAUAUAACCAUCAAACAUCAAACCAAAAAGAGAAACCAGCCAUUUACAAGAGAAAAUAUCAAGAAUAUUAGAGAGAACAAAAUAGAGCAUGUAUAUGCAGGCAAUCGUGUUCAACUAAAACAACCUUGUGGCCCUAGAUGUCCACAGCAAAUCACAAAAUAAUAUUCAUGGAUGAUGUUGGACAUUAAGGGAUGGAAACGUAUCAAGCUCAAGAUAGCCUUGCUUGGAAGUUCACAGCGCGACCUUCCUUUCCUCAGCUAUCUUCUUCCUCCAUCCUUUCCUUUUCUCAAGCUAUCUCUCCUAAAGAAAAUGCUAUGUCACUUCCUCUCUCCUCCUAGGCUGCUCAUUCUGGUUCUUCUCUAAAAAUGAAUACGCUUCUCCCUUCCCUACCUCUGGCUUCCUCCCUAAACUCAAAGAACGCACCUCAAAAAUCUCUCCCCUCUCUGUUUCUCUCCUAUCUCUGUUUUCCUCCUCCGCGGCAACGAAAACACCCACCUCUCAAAAAAGUAUCACUCUCCUGUCUUUCCUCUCUCUCAUACGCUCCUCCUCUCCGACCUCUGGCUUUCUCCCCAAGCAAAAGAAUUCCCCCUCUGAAGCUAAAGGAAUUCCUCUUCUCUCGUCCGACUUGCCCCCCAAGAAAGAAUACCCUCAAAAUAUCUCUAAAAAACCCCCUCUCCAAACGCACCACCCUACAACAACCAAAACACCACCUUGCCUCUACCAGAAUCUGCCUUCUCUCUCUCCUACGCUCCUUCAUAACGACUUCGACUUUUUCCAGAAUCUUCUUGACACUAACGUAAUUCCAUGAUAGGCGACCACGAGGUAGCACUUGCUCUCAAAGAGCCCUCCAUCUGGCAAGUGAGCUGCAGAAAAUGGGAGAAAAAUGAGCCCCAAACGGGGUCUACAAAGUGGGUUUGAGAUUUUUUUUUUUUUUUAAAAAACCUAAGAUGAGUUUAGAACGGGUAUUACUUAGUCCCGCCCACCCCACCUUGAUUACAUAUAAAAUUAAUUUAAAAUGUUAAUUUAAUUUAAUUUUUAUUUUCCUAUUUUUAAUAAAAUAAGUUAUAAAAAAUUAUAAUAUUUUAAUUAUUUAUAAAAUAUAUUUAUUUUGAUAUAAUUAAAAAUAUGUAUUUUAAUUUAUUUUAUUUUUUAAAAAAAAAAAAGUUAAACAUGUUGCCUAUGGGAAAUUCGCAUACUAGUCCACCUUACCCCGUCCCGUCUAAUUUUUUUAAUAAGACGGGUAUGAGAAUUAUUUUGAAUAAACGGGAUAUGAUUGAGAUGAGUGCAAUCCAUCCCCAACAUGUAUAGCUUGCCAAUCUCCAACGUCAAGAUGUAUUUAAUAAAAGAUUAAGUAAGGAACCUAUUUGCAACUUAUUAAAUUUGAUUAAUUUAAAAGGUUAGUGAAGCAAAUCCAUUUGCAAAAAUUAAAAAUGCAUAGAUUUUUAACUAAUUUUAAAUAUAUUUGAUUUUUUAUUUAUUUAUAUUUUCCAUAUUAUAACCCAAUAUGAAAAAAAUCACUUUCCUUAUUAUUUUUUUCUUUAUUACUUUUUGGAACAAAUAUAACCUAAGACUAUGUCUGGUUUCCUUAAAAUUUAAGAGAAAAUAUGUUAAGGAAAGAAAAAACAAAAAAAAUAAAAAAAUGAAAUUCAAAAUCAAUAAUUAUUUUAUAUGUUUCUUCAAAUUCAUUUAACUUAUUUUUCCCCAUUAUAUAAAUAUUAAAUGAUUUUAAAAUACAUAAAUUUCUAACUAAUUUAAGUAAUAUUUGAUUUUCUUUCAUAUUUUCUAUAUUAAAAUUAAAUAGAAGAAAACAAUUUUUUUAACAUUUUUUUCUUUCCUUAGCAUUUUCCUAAAGCCAAACAUAACAUAAAUGUUUUGAAUUGAAAACUAAUGUCAUUGUAUAACUUUAUUGAUUGGUUGGAUCCUUCCUAAGGGAGGGAGUUGUUUUUUGUUUUCCCUUCCAUUUUUUGGCCAUCUUUCGAUAGCCAUUGUAUAUAUCUUGUGUGCUUUUUCUAUAUUGUUGAUAUUGGAGGAUAGAUUUUAAUAAUAUAUAUAUAUAUAUAUAUUCUUAACUUCUUGUUUUUAUUUUUAAUGUGAAAGCACUUUUAGAUUUAGCAUGCCCAUAUUAUUAGUUGUAAGACAAAUGAUAGAAUUGAAAAGAAUGAUUUGGGCUUUGUUCUCAGAAGAAACAACGUUAGUAUUAUAAGUAGAGAAAAGGCUACAAAUUAUAGAUGGGAGAUCCUCCCAAUUAGAAGAUGUUAUGAGAGGAAGGUAGAAGAAAGAAUGACAAUAACAAAAAAUAGACACCAACCCAAGGCCCACAGCACAAAUAUCCAAGUCCACCACUGAAACACAAAACAAGCAAGGGUGAAGGUGAAGACAAGAUGAAAGGCAUUUGGCUUCGAGGGGAGAUAUGAUCUAUUGGCGAACCUAUCAGCUUCCUGAUUGGUUGCUCUAGACUUUCAACAGAAGGAGCAUCUCAUGUCUCUAGACAGCUUCUCUAUCCUUUUCAACCAAUGGUUAUGUCUCCAUAAACAACCCUUCUUUUAUUUGUGGCAGGUCGAUUUUACAUCUCAAACUUGCAUGGCAUAUUGCUGUUGAAUUGAAACCCACAAAUUUGAUUUUGGCAUUAUGGUCAUCCCCCUCUUAUGUGCUCACAAUUUUUUUGUAACUUAUUUCAUUUUCUGCCAGGUUUAGCCCUGAAGCUCUAAAUGGGCUAUUCAUCAAGGGAUUGGUUGGCUGGUUUUUGCAAGUCUCACUGCUGAAAGUAUCAUUGCUUUCAUUGGGUAUUGGGGAGGCACCCUUUCUGGACAUUGUGGCAUAGCAGGGUACACUUUCACAGGGAUGUGCUUGGCUGUCCUUGAGAGGGAUCAUGUGGAGUAUCUCAUAUUAUUUCUUGAUGCCCUGGGCAUGCCUAUGCAUGGGAAUAUUCUUGGUAAAAACAAUAAAGAGAGUCCUCUUUGCAGAGGUGAGGAGUUAUGUUUCCAGCAAGCAUCACUAUCUCUUGCUCCUUAUUGCUUUGGCUCAGUUCCCACUUUUCAUAUGGCUUGGCAACAUUAGCCUUCAUUGGCUUUUCUGAACUUCAUCUUUGAUAACUGUAUCCGGAAACAAUUUGCUUCUGUGGAAGUCUUAAAAUGUUGUAGUUUUGGUCUAUGAUGUCGGCCAAGUGACCAUUCUCCAAGACUAGAAAUAUUCUUUAAACUUAUGCUAAAGCUUAAAUAUGAUUCAAUUGUUCUCCUAGUUAAAACAGAAACCAAGCACUUGGCUUCCUUGUUCAGAAUUAUUUAUCCUUUUUUUCCCAAUUGAUUGGAAAUGAACUAGUUUAGCACUUGUAAUUUGACAUGUUCAUUUAAAGCAACUGUAGUUAAUAAAACAAUUGAGCAUGAACUGGAGUUGCCGAUGGAAUCCUGAAAGUGGAUGACAUAAAUUACUUGGUGCCUUCUUCUGGUACAUGAUACUCCUGAACUGAAUGUCAGCAUGGUAUUCAUGAAUCAAGUUUCAAAACAAUUGAGCUCAUAUAGAUCUUGCAUAACUGGAAAUCAAAGUGAAUCUCAUGUUGUUUUUGAUGGGUUUACAAUAAAAUCAAUGACAUCACUAUGGCCUUUGUCAAUGAUUGGGUUUUAAACUCUGGUUCAAAACAUCCACUGCAGUGGGAUAAUGGCCUUAACAUCCAGUGAUGACUUCAUUUUAGACUCCGGUUCAAAACAUCCACUGCCAUGAGAUAAUGGCCAUAACAUCUGAUGGACCUCGUUUUCCCAGACACACGGAGAUGGAUUAGGUAGGGGUGACUCUGAAUCACUUGCACUGAGUCUACUUCGUACGAAGUCUCUGAGGUCAGUUGAAGGUUGUCUGGUGAUCAGCUAGAUAAUUCCAAAUACUUGACGCGAGGCUAGAUGCUUGAGGGUAAAUCAAGAGGCACAGCAGUUGUAAAUCGUCUCCCCAUAUGGCAAAACCUAUUCUGUCACAAUGAUAAAAAGGUGUUUAAUUAUGGCAGGUAAUGGAGCUUCAGGCAAUAGGAUGUGAGGCAGUGAGAGGUCAAGAUAGAGCAACAUACAUUUCUUGCCCAUGGAAUGAUGCCCAUCCAAUAUAUACAGACUGCAAUUUUUACCAACAUUGAAGAAAGUUAGCCUCUCAUUAAGGCACUAAGAUCACAUUUAGAAAUCUCAAAGAAUUCUGAGAAUGUGUCAAUGCCUUGCAUCAUUCCAUUUAGAAAUCUGAGUCCCAGAAAGGUGUUAAUGCCGAUGUUCCAAAAUUUUGAAACCGUGUUGCAAUCUAUUCUCCUGCCACAGUAACAAGAUUUCUUUACAAUGAACAGUCGUGAUAAUUUCACAUCUGCUAAUGCUAGCAUAAGCCACAUUGAGAAAACAAUUGAUCCUUGGAUUAUUACCAAUCUCUAAGGAAUUGAAAAAGGCCAGAUGGUCAAGCUCCAAAGUUUUUGACGACAUUCCCGGUUCACCAAUCAACGAUAGUAUCAUACGUGAAACAGAAGACACAAAGUCUGAAACAUUCAAAAUCAAAAGCAUCUGUUUUGAUUAUUUAGCAAGAAAAAUAACAUAAUGGAUCUUAUUUGUAUGUAUAUCAAGUUUAACAACACGCCAUUGCAUGACUCCUUAAUUGGCUUCCAAUAUUCAGAUAAUUCAAAGGCACCAUUAUGUUUAAUUCCGAUAUAAAAGACUGUCAAAGAAGGGGGAUAUAAAUUUGUACGAGAGUUAACAAACCUCUGGUUUUUUGUCAGCAAAAUCUCAUUAACUGGAUUCCUGAAAAACGUAGUAAAAAUAAGUAAACGCUCAUUAGAGUUAAAUUCCAAAUCCAAAGUCAAUAGAAGGUUGUUUAUUGUAGAACUAAACACAAUUACUAAACCUUAUAAUGCAAGAACACAAAAUUGUCCAGAAACACAUUUUCCAUCUUAUCAGAUUCAAUUUAUGGCCUUCCUGCAUAACUGCAUUUUAUAUUUGAAAGGUAAAUCAGACAUUUUUUAUGUGAGUAAUAAGAGAGUAAAUGGCAUAAAAGGCAAACCAUACAAAUGAAGAAGUUGUAAACAUAUAAGAGUGCUUACUGAUCACUGUUGAAUGAUAUUUAAUCGUCUCUCUUUCAAUCUGCAAGAGUUUAUACUCAGUGAAUCAUAGUAUGCUACCAAGAAUAAUGCCUCAUUUCCUCGUUGUUGGAAAAAAAUGUAGUGAAAAACAUGUAAGUUGCCAAUAGAAAUAUACUAGUUUAAAAAUAAAGCAUUUCAAGUUACAUAAGGUUUGUACAAGUUGUAACUGACCUGAAAAAAAUCUGUAUGUUUGAUAAAGCUCAUUUUAAUGAAUCCUAACAAUGGUUUAAAAGACAUCCAAAAGGAGGAAAGCUGGAUCAGCAUUGCGCAUCCACCUAAAAGGAGUAACAUGAAAUGCAUCAAUAUAAAAUGAGAUGAAAAGAAAAUAGUAGUGCUCAUAAAAAUCCUUUCUGCAAAAUAAUGCAUAAAGACGACCAAUUCAUCAAUGUAAAACAAAUACAAACUGUUCUUUAUAUAGGUCAUAGUUCCAUCAGAGAGCAAUUUCAAACAAUCACAACAACUGAGCACAAGACUUUAUAACAUGGAUGACAAACCAGUCCUCAGAAGGAACCUAAAGAAAUGUGUGAUUCUCGACUCUCCAAGAGAUGUAUGACUAUUCAGUCUUACUGGCAGCUUCUCCAAGAUAGCACAAAAAAUAGCUUCAUGUCUACUGAAGACAGGUGAACUAAGCAGUGUCCAAGGAUUGGUGCUUAGGGAACACCUCAAGUCAUAAACAUAGAAAAUUUAGAAAAAAAGUUAGCAAAUAUAGGAAUCUAAAAAAACCAAUAAAAAUGUAAAAUAAAAAUUGUAACUUACCAUGAUCUUGCUAAGCUGUUGUUUAUCCUCUUUCUACACUCUUAACAUCAACAAUAGAAACAAAAACAAGUAGCAAUAGGAAUUUGCCACAGUCACUAUAGACAUGGAGCCUCCAAAUAUAAAACCCGAAUCCCCUUCGACAAGAAGAAAAAUACUUAUACUCUGACACCUGGGACAUGCACCUUUUAAACCUGCAAACUCCAAAAGAAGAGAUAUGGUUUCAUCAAAUCAAAAAUUUGAGAAACUAAAGCAAAACCAUUUUGUUUCUGCUCAAAUUUGUACAACUAGGCAUAUGUAAAUGUGACAGUAGCUCACAUUUUGGAAACCAAGUGGGAUAUAUUAGAAUAGAUACAAGCUGCUGUUGUUGCUAUGUAAUAAUUCCAUUAGGUAGUUCUGGGCUAUCGCAGUCACAGAGAAAAUACCACUUGGGAUAAAUUGAAAACCAGUUCUUGUGAAAGACAAGUUUCAUGCACUGAAUGGUUCCCAACUUUCAAAGGAAAUAAAAGAUCAUACAACCUUAUGAGCGGCUUCCCCAGGAGGGCAAGAAGAGGUUCUUAUUUAUUAAAGAUGCAAAUGAAAUCUUGAUUCAGAGGACCUCUGUAAAGCACUGAAGAAUCUAUCACAAGUCAUAAAAGGAAGAAAAUUUUACAAAAAUAGUCCUUAGAACACAAUAAUAUAUAGAAUCAACUAUAUAAAUGAAAGUCACGCACCACAAUUUUGCUAGAUUGUAUUUUAUCCUCUUUUAGUCGUACUAAAAAAUGGUAAUAAAGUGCCAAUGAGCCUUUGAUAUAGGAUGAACAUUCCAAUCAGUUAGCACAAUGAAAAGACCACAUGACCUCCUGUGAUACUUUGCACCCAUCCUUUUGACACCUGCAUCAUCAAUGUAAACAAUUUGGUACAUAAAACUGUAAGACUUAUUAUUACCGUUCAGAGGUAGCCGAGUUAAAUGGCAACAAAUUGCAAAUAUAUGUAUGGGAAAUAGAAAGUGAUAUUGAGGAGAGAAAGAGGAAGAAUUGCAUGUUGGGAAUGAGCAUCCAGUGGACAAGAAGAAAAUUCAAGAAAAUUAGUCAUCAAAAUAGAAAAAUAAAUAAACAAAAUAUAUAGAUGACGGUGACUCACUGUAGUCUUGCUGGGUUAUUCUUUGUCCCCUGUUGACACUCAAAAAAAAUAAAAAAAAGAGCAACAGGGGACAACUGGAACUAGCUGCAUUCACUCCAUACUUUGAAGUCUUUGAUAUAAUACCUAGAGUUCCAUCCUCUUUGAGAACCUGCAUCAUAAAUGUAAAAAUUUAAUAACCAGAUGACAAGACACUGGAUAGUAGCUAUGAUGACAUCUAAUAAGUUGAACUAAAAAAAUCAUGGCUGCACAGGGGAAUUGAUAAAGCCAUCUAAUUACCAUAGCAAUCGAACUUUAAUAAACUGCAUUUGCUUCUAGUAUAGCCUCCUCUGUAUGUCAGCCUGAACUCUAUUCUGGAAAUCAGAAAAUUAUACUUAAAAAAUGCAAUUGAAUAGUACAACUGAUGGAAUAAAAAUCAGAAGACAUUGCUAACCAGUGGCUAUUGCUAAAUAUUCCACCUGCCCUUGAAUGGCAUAAAUGGAUCCUCUCUUAUCCUUUUUAUCGUUGUAAGUAUCACAUAUCACCUCUUCAACUUCAAUGGUCACUGAGAACUAAAAAGAACAAAGGAAAAAGGAAAAGUGUGUACCCCAUGGAGAUUAUGGACAAGAUUUACUAAAUAGAAUUGGAGAGGCAGAGGCAGUGAUGCAUACCUAGAAUUGUGUCAAAUUGAAGAGAAAACCAAGCUACAAGCCAUUUCAAAAGCCACUUCCUAGGCAAAUUUUUAACAAAAAGUCUAGUAAGAAACGUACAAGUAAUCAAUUGGGGAAAUUGCUAUAAUGUAUAUGAGAGAUUGAACGCGGUAUUGAGGAGUGAAAGAUAAAGAACAGGCGUACCUUGUUUAAUGUAAAGAUGGGAGAGGGUUGAAUGGUGUUUGCUUCUAUGUUCUGCAAUCCCUCAACUUAUUAUUGCUCAAAGACGUUUUUAUCAUCUAUUUCCACAUAGGGAAUGUGGGCGAUGUUGGGCCAAUCUUGCCCUUUCCCUUUCGAGCACCUUUGUUUUAGGAGCGGGCAGUCUGUGAUAUAUAGUCGUGAAAGCGUGUCAGGCAGCCCUUCCCUUGGGCAAAACGACUGAAGCUUAGGGCAACGUUGGAUCCAUAGAUCUUCAAGUGAGGUGAGGGUUUGGAGAGCCAGGGAGGAUAGAGAUUUCAGAUUCUGGAAAUCUUGAAUGGAAAGAAAGGUGAGGGUUGUAGGAAGAAUCGGUGGUCUUUGACCAUCUGAAAAGGAGGCAACUCGUGGAAAUAUGCCACCAAUGGUGAGUUCUUUAAGAGAGGUAAGUGUGGCAAGGCCCCAUCGGGAUAGGGGCAUCUUGAUAUUCUCACAACGGUAGAUACCAAGUGAUGUAAGAGCAGUGAGGUUUUGCAGUUGAUGAGGUAGCAGCUCCACAUUCUCACAAUUAUUAAUCUCCAGUUCUCUGAGUUUGUAGAGGCAAUCUGGUACAAUUUUGAGACAGGGAUACGACCGGAUACUCAAAUAUUCAAGUGAACUAUUAUUGGAGUGAAACGUCUCCUUUGAAAUCGACUCCAGUUGUGCACAAUCCCAAAUCUCAAGUUUCUUAAGGGUGGAGGGAAACUUGCCUGUGGGGAAGAAUGUGAGAGAUGGACAUUUCCAAAUGUCCAAGACAUGAAGACCACCACUGGUGGCGGUGGUGGUGUUGGAAUCAUGGUGCAUCAUUCCCCCCGGUAGAGACUCUAGCUUUUCACACCUCCAUAUCUUGAGUUCCUUGAGCGUGGUGGGUAACUCACCUUCUGGAAAACCAAUGAGAGAUGGACACGUAUGUAUGUGCAAGUAUUCAAGGAGACACACGUCGCUACCGUUAUUACUACCGUCUUUCAUCACCAUCAUCCAAUCAGGUAGACAUCGUAGACCUUCACAACUAUGAAUAACAAGACGUCUAAGCAUGGGCGGGAACCCCAACUCUGGAAAUGACACCAGCUUUGGACAAUCAUAGAUUUCCAACUCUCCAAGACAUGUUAGCCUGUACAGUCCAUUGGGAAGCUUCUCUAGGUUAUUACACCACCUAAUUUUCAAAGAUUGAAGCUUGCUAGGCAGCUCGUGCUUUUCCUUUUCUCCCAAGGAUACAAGCUCGGGACAACUGCUAGUUUGCAACUGCUGAAUACCAUCAAAUCCAUUUUCCCACAAACACGUCAAUUUAUCACAUCUAUCAAUGUCUAAAACUUGAAGCCCCGACAACAAUUGCAUACAACCUUCAUGUAAUCUGGUGAGCCCUACCAUUCUAUCAAUUCCUAACUCGGUGAGUGAAGGCAAUUCCAAUCCACUCCUUAGUACCGCCUCAUUGCAAUCUUGUACUCUUAAUUUAGAAAGAGAUGGAAGCCUUUCAAGUGGAGACACCAACUGUGGGCAUGUCCCAAUGGAGAAAUGUACAAGGGACGGUAGGUUAGUGGGUAGUUUCUUGAUUAAUUUGGGGCAAUUUAUGAUUUCAAGGUGAAGGAGACAAGGAUAUGGCUCUGAUAAAGAUGGACUCUCCCAAUCUUCCCAUUGUGACAUAGCCGAAAAAGAUAGAGACUCUAAGGACGGGAAAGGCUUAUUGGGAAGACAAGUCUCUCCAUAAAACUCUCUACCCACAAUUUUUACUUCUUUUAACCCUUCAAUCCUUACGUGUUUGAGCAUGGGUAACCACCCCAAACACGGUAAAGAUGUGCAAUUUCUGCAAUUCACCAGAUUUACAUCCACCAUCUUCGAGAAUGAAACAUCUCCUAUCCAAGGGGGAAAUUCUGGACCACCAUAAUACUCAAUUUUUAGUUUGUUCAAAUUGAAGUGUGGCUGUAAAGAGUCAAGUACAUCUUUUUGAUUCCUUGCAUUGUGUGAAUCAUUCAACCCAGCACUCCACUCUAUCGUCAAUUCUUCAAGCUUCUGCUUCUUGUUUAGACUAGCAUCCCUUGCAUCUUGAACAUUUGCUACAUUUUCCAACUUUGAAAUGCAAAGUCCCCCUUGAAGUUGGGGCAUAUUCCUUAACUCCUUUACAUUCAAACCAUUGUCUUUACCCACAAUAAAAUUAGACAAUACUUGUAAGCCUUUUAAUUUGCAAAUUCGUGGAGGCAUUUCUUCUAGAUUUGUAUUGGUCACAUCAAGGUGUCGAAGAUUAUUUAGGUUUCCAAUGCUCAAAGGCAACCUAAUAAGCUUCCGACAAUUUGAUAAUAUUAAUGUCUCUAAGUUAUGGAGGUUACCCAGUGAAUCAGGUAAUCGUUUGACUUUUGUUCUGGAUAAAUUAAGAUACCUAAGGUGUUUCAAAUCACCAACUGAACUUGGUAUCUCACUUAUCCGAUAACCACUCAAUAAAAGCACCCUUAGGCGUCGUAGCUUGGGCAUCAAUCCCUCAAGUACCUUGUUGCUUAACCAAUUAUAAUCCCAUAAUGGAUCAAUUGGUAAUGCAAUAAACGUACGCAAAUUCUCCAUCCCAUAAAAGGCUUCAAACUUUUUGAAGAUAUCGUAUCGGUCACGAAUGAAUGAUGAAUGACGAGCCUUUUUAGAAAUAGUCUGCUGCUGAUUACCUUCCAAAUUCUUUUCCAGAGAAAAACAUAUUUCUCCACCAACAAAUUUUGCUAAAUCGUUAACGAGAUCAUGCAUUACGAAUUGGGAUUUAUUGCUACUUGAUGGUUGAAAAAAUGAUCGAGACAACAAUUCCUGGAAGUAGUUAGCGCCUAAAUCUUCAAUUUCGAUUUGUUGCCUAUGACAUUCUAAGUGUUGAAUUAGACUCUCUGCCAUCCAUAAGCGAAUCAGUUCUCUCUUAUCAAAUUCAUAGUCUUUCGGAAAUAUUGCACAAUAACUGAAACAUCUCUUCAGUGGAGAGGGGAGGUGAUUAUAACUUAAUCUUAAUGCAGGAAGAAUACCGCAUUUAUCACUCGGUAAAUCCCAUAUUUUGCUAGUCAAAAUAACAUUCCACUCAUGUUCUCUCUGUUCAUGGCGUAGAAGACUACCGAGUGCUGUUGCUGCCAAAGGCAAGCCUCCACACUUUUUUACAAUUUCCUUGCCGAUCAAUGCCAAAUUGGAAUGCUCAUCAAUGUUGCUAUUUCCAAAUGCAUGUUUCUUGAACACCGACCAACACUCAUUAUCUGAUAAAUUUUGUAGCUCGUGCAAGUUCUUAUCUCCUUCCAUUAUAUUUGCGACCUUCUUACUCCGUGUCGUGACUAUGAUUUUGCUGCCUCGUGAACCCGACAAAAAGGGAGACUGUAAGCAACGCCAAUCAUUAUAGUUGUCAUUCCACAUAUCAUCGAGAACCAGAAGAAAUUUUUUUCCCUUCAAUUCCUCCCCCAAUUUAUCUUGAAUUUGAUGGAAGUCUAGUGAAUCAGUAUUGCUCUGAGAAGUACUGACCGAGUUGAGGAUUGUCUUGGUUAUUCUCACUGCAUCGAACUGAUCUGAUACACAAACCCAGGCCUUUAGAUCAAAAUGCUUGGCUGUCUCAGGAUGAUCGUACACCAACCUUGCUAGUGUGGUCUUGCCCAUACCACCCAUGGCCACGAUGGAAACUACAGAAACAUUGGUUUCAAUGGGCUCAUCCCUAAGCAGCAUAUCCAUUAUAAUCUGUUUAUCAGCAUCCCUGCCAUAAACCCAAGGUUCGUAUACCAGAGAUGUAGUGAGUGGCCUUUCCCAAGUAGACUGGGUUAUAGCAGCCACCUUGUCCAAACCAAGCCCAGCCUUUUGGGCAUAUAUAGCUUCUAAUCGGGUGGUAAUGUCCUUUAUCUCGCACCCCAUCUUAACAUUACGCAUACAACCAAUAGGAGUGAAAGUAGUACAACAAGUAGGGAUAAACUUGCGUACCUUGCUUGUGCUGCCUUCACCAUCAGCUUCCGCCAUCACCUUUCUUCUUAAAGCUUCGUAGGCAAACUCGUCCAAGAUGUCCUCCAUGUCAUAAACCAAAUCCCUCAGAUCGCCCAGCCACGUUUUCACCGACUGCUUCGUGAUCUGCUUCUCCUCCGCGUCAUUCAGCACUUCAUCAAUCUCCAAUAAUUUUUUCUCCCAUAUUUCGAGCUCGGCGCGGAUUUUCUCUUGGCGUGCAAACUUGAGAUCAGGGGAGCGCAGUUGGUUAAACAAAGCUUGAAGGGAGUAAGAAAGAACAACCUCUGCAACAACUUCCAUGGUUCGUUGGUAGGGAAAGAGAGAGGUAGGAUACCAAGUGGAAACAAGAGAAUAAAAAACAAUUGGUUUGCUCUAUCAAGGCUUCCCCAAUUAUCAAAGACAGUGGACUCUGCUCCUUCAGAGUGGUGGGGCUCACACGUAAAGAAGAAGAAACUAAGGGAAAAGAAGGAAUCCAAGGCAACUGGUGCUAAGUGGAGCCAUUGGAGAGAUAAUUAUUCAAGUCUUGGACCACUCUCCAAUUUCCCACUACACUGGUUUUAGGGGUGGGUGACAUACUCACAUGAAGUGACAGAAAGCAGGGCCCUCUAAUUCAAAGUUUAUUUUACUAUUAAAUAAAUAAAUAAAAAAGUCAUUUUCUUAAAACCCUUCUACAAUUUUCUGACAAAGCAAAUGACUUCUGUAAGCAGGAUACCAUUCUUGUGAAUGGGAAAAGGAAGAAGGUUGAAGGAAGAAGAGUAAACAAGUUUUCCCUUUAUUUUAUAUAGAUUGGUGAUUAGGCUGAAGUAGAGAUACCUUGCUACCUCGCUGCAUCUUCAAACGAUAAUGUUGAUUAAAGAUGAAUUGAAAGCCAUGCUUUGCCUGCGAAGUUUGAUUAGAGAGGAAUCUCUAAAUCAAAUUUUGUGAAACAAUUGGUUUGCUUGCUGUAUCAAGGCUUAGCCAAUUAUCAAAGACUGAAGGUAAGAGAUAAGGAGUUGAAGGCAACAGCUGGCAAGCUGGCAAGUGGAUCCAUUGGACAUGAUUUGAUUAUUCAAGUCUUGGACCACCCUGCAAUUUUCCACACCGCACUGGGUGGUGGGUCAGAGAGUUAAGGAUAACGUCAGAAAACCAAACAUGAAGCGACGGAAAGCAGGGCCCCUGUACGAAAAUAUUACUCUGCAACAAUCAAAAUAAUCAAAGAAUCAUGCAUUGAAAAAUUGCAAGCUAAUGUUGUUAAAUUUUAAAAAAUAUGAAUUCAGAAAUUAUUUGUAAAUAUUUAGAAAUUGCUAAUGUUGGCUUUAGUUCAAUUUCACAAAAAUAGAAUCAUGCAUUGAAAAAUUGAUUUGAAGUUGAAGUUUUACAAUUUCCUUAUUUAUUUUCUAGGAGUUCAUAUAGGAAUAAGUUACAAAUACAUGGGAGGAACUUACAAAGAUGUAAACAAGUAAUUAGGUUAAGGACUCCACUUCCAAGCAGGCCAUGUGCUUUUAAGGAUAGAAAAAAAAUUGUUUAACACAUUAAUAAGAACAAAUAAUUUAAUGUUUAAGAAUAUUAAAAUAUGAAUAAAAAUAAACAAUUUAAUCUUAGCCAGAUUGUGUUCUAUUUAAAAUUCAAUAAAAAUCUAUUUAAAUUUAAGAUAGAGAAACAAACUAGAUAUAAUUUUUUCACUUCUUAUAUUUUAAAAUAUUUUUUAAUUAAGCAUUCUUAAUAAUAUUUUUAUUUCUUAUAAAAAAAGUUAUAAUUAUUUCAUGGAUGAUUAUUAACUUUUUUUUUUAAGAGAAAGAUAUAUCGUUGAAAUAGUUUUUAAGAAAAGACAAUGAAAUAGAAUCUGAAAGUUGAAUUAUUGAAAAUAUUGUAACCUCUAAAGAUAAAAUGAAAAUACUAAAACAUUGAGUGAUGAAAUUUAGGUUAUUGAAUAAAAAUAUAAAUAAAUUAGAUCAAAAUAUAAAAAUACAAAUAAUCGAGACAUAUGUGAUGCGUGAGACAUGCUAAAUAAAAAAUUUUGCUCCCACAAUUUCUAUAAUAUUAAAAGAAAGUCAAUUUUUUAAUAAUCUCUUUCCAUCUUUUGGUACACGCAAUAGAAUAAAAUAUAACCAUAAUUCUAUACAUUUCUUUCACGGGAAAAAAAGAAGGAAAAAACUUGGGGUGCUGGCACAUUGGGUGUCCACAAGUGGACCUUGUAUUCAAUUAUUGGUAAGAGAUGGCCCGGAUAGGUGGCAAUUAUUGGGGCUCUUUUACUUAAUAGAAUAGAUUUAUAAAAUAAUUUUAAAAAUGACUUCAAAAAGUAUAUUGAAGUCUAUGAUAAUUGUUAAAUGUUGUCGAUUUGAUUUUACUUCUAAUAAGAAAUCUUUUUUAUUUUAGUAUGGAAACUUUUUAAAACAGUGAUUUACUUCCAUUGAUUUAAUGAUAUUAUUAAAUUAAAUUUAAAAAGAUUUGUUAAAAGUAAGUUUUUUUAUUAAGGUAGAGUUGGAUUCGAAGUUUUAAAAUUAAGUUAAAAUAUCUUAAUUAAUUUUUGACAAUUUUGAGGUUUUAUUUUAAAAAAAUUUCUUAAUUAAUUUAUAGAAAAUUAAUAUUUUACUUUUUAAACAAAAAUUAUUUUGUUAAUUAAUUUUUGAAAAUUUGAUUUUUUUUUUUUAAGAAAUUCAAUUUCAAACCAUCUAGGCUCUUAGGCCUAUAUAUAUUAUCUAAAUGUGUUUUUGGGUUGGAUGCUUUAAUAAAAUUAACCUCAACUUGCUCUAUCAUUCAUAAACUCUCAACAAAGAAUUCACUAAUCAAAUCCCAUAGUUUUUUAUUUCCAUAAUUAAUAUGAUGAUUUUCCACAUAAAAUUGAUUGUCUUGUAUGUAAUUGUGAUUUUAUUAUUUAUAUGGAUAUGUGAAAUUGACAAUAUUGCCCCUAGCCUCAAGCAUAGGGUGUUACAAACAUCCUUAUUUAUCGACUCUCAACAUGAUUAUACUUUUCAUAGUAACUUAGCAUGAAAAUCUUUCAAUUGUCAUAUUCUAACAUUAUCUAUAAGUUUCUUGAGUAUUGAAAUUGACAAUGCUUUUGUGAAUAAGUUUGUUAAAUUAUCAUUUGAUACUUUCUGAAUACUAAUUUUAUUACUCUUGUGGAGUUUAUGAAUAUAAAAGAACUUGAAUGAUAUAUGGUUACUUUAGUUUGAGUUUUCCUCUUUUUAUCAUUAUGGCCUAUAUGAUUCUUAUUGAUCUAAAAAUUAAAUUUAAAAAAUUAGGCAAGAGAUUAACCUACUUACAAUUUAUUAAGCCUGAGUCACUAAAAUUAGUCAAUUAAAUUAGUUUGUUAUCUUUUUCUUUUUAUAAUAAUAGUUGGCAAGGUUCUUAUCUAUAUCAAGAUUAACUUAACUAUUAGGUAAGGCUUAAGAGAACUUACUUGCAAUUAUUAAAUUUGAGUUAAUAAAAUUAAUCAAUAGAAUUAACUCGUCGUCUUUUUGUUUUUAUAAUUGUGGCCGACUUAGUUCUUAUCAAUAUGAAGAUUAAAUUAAAAGAUUAGGUAACGGCACCCACUUGCAAUUUAUUAAACUCGAUUAAGCAAAAGUAGCUUCACUUAUUUCUCUUUUUAUGAUUAUGGUCAGCAAGGUUCUCAUCAACAUCAAGAUUAAUUUAAAAGAUUAUGUAAGGGAACCUAUUUGCAACUUGUUAAAUUUGACUCAUUCAAAAGGUUAGUCAAGCAAAUACACUUGCAAUAAUUUACAAUCAAAAUCCACUUUAAAAUAAUAAAUAUAAGCUAUCUUUUUUUGGUUGCAUUGAACUUAUUGAUAAUUAGAUUUAAACAUAAUUAAUAUAAUUAUUUAAGUAUUAAUUAAGUUUUCAAAACUAAUUAAAAUUUAAACAUCACUAAUUAAAUGAAAUAGUAUAAAAUUUAAUUAAUUAUUAUAUAUAUAAAAUAAACUUUAAUUAUCUAAUUAAAAUUAUUAAAUACUUAAGUAUUACCAUGCCUAAGAAUUAAAAGAACUUUUCAUUUUUUCAAGGCAUAAAAAAAUAACAAAGGAAAAAUCUUGAUUCAAAUAAAUAAAUAAUUCCAUGGAAAAUAUAGAAAUGAAAAUAAUAUUUAUAUUGUGUAAUACUAUAUUGCAGUAGUCUACAAUUUAUCAGUCUUAUUUGGAUUGAUUUUUAAGAAGUCAAAAGUUCUUUUAUAAGCUCAAGAAGGACUUCUAUGUCUCUUUAAUUAAUUUUAUUUGAAUGGCUAAUGGUUUAAAAAGAAGAUAUGAAAACUACAUAUAUUUUUUUUUAUACUUUUUAUAAAGGUGCAUAGCACCUCAUGCUAAUAAUUUUGUAUAACAAAAUAAAUAUUUCAAAGGCACCUCCAAUUACCUAGAAAAUGAAUUUUCAAUUUAUCAAAUACUUAAUUUUUGUAACAAAGAUGUUUUUGAGCAUUAUCGAACAUUUCUAACUUUUCUAAAAUCAUGACCAAAUGACUCAUAAUCUUUUCGAAUACUAAAACAUUCAUCAAAUUAUUUUGUUAUGAGCUUUUUAUUUUAAUUAAAAGGUUAAAAUAAACACUAACUUUAUUAAUUUUAUGUUCCAAAAUAAGUUUCUUUGAAAGCUUGUAAUGUAAAUUGAUUAAUGAAUUUCAGUUAUGAAUGAUCUCGGGGAGUUUGAAUUAGAAAUUUUGAGAUAACACUUUUUUUUAAUUGUUUAUGAUUAAAUAUGUAUCAAAUAAACGUACAAAACUGAAAAGACUUUAGAGGGUGAUGAUAAAUCAAUUUAAUGACUUAAUUUAAGUUAUUAAAUAUAUUAAGCAUGUUUGAUAAAAUAAUAAAGUUAAAAAUGAUUAUGAGAAAUCAUCUUAACAAUUAAGACUCCAUGACUUAAAUACAAUUAAUUUAACUUAAAGUCAUCUUACCCCGAUAAAUAUCAAGUUUUACCAAAAUUGUUGUUAAUGAUCUCAAUAAUUUUUUAUUUUCUUUCUAAAUAAAAUUAUUUUCAUUUAUUUAUUAAUGGAUUAUGGAGAAUAACCAUCCUCUCCCCAUCCUCUUUUUAAAUUGCAUACCAAAAGUUAGAUAGAGAUUCAAAAAGGAUCCAUAAAUGCAAGUGAUGGAAGGAGCAAUUAAUUUGUUUUAUUAUUCACCAUUUUUCAAAUUCCAUUUUCUGUGAAUACCCCUCCUACCUAAAUGACUUUUAAACAAAAACUUUGAUCAUGUUUUCUAUGCUUGUUUUUAAAAAUUAUUUUUAGUGUUUUAUAGAAAUAAAGGUGUUUGACAAAUUAUUUUUUAAACCAGUUUUUAAAAAUAAAAAAUAAAAAUUUUGUUUGAAUAAAUUAUUUAAUUUUUUUUUUAUUUUGUAAAAAUAUUAUAAAUUCAAUUUAUAUAACGUGAAUUAAACAAAAAUCUUUUUAUUACGUUUCCUUCCUUAGGUUAUAUUUGGUUUUCAAAAUUUUGAAGGAAAGAACAUAAAUAAAAAAUAAACUUUGCUGUAGUAAAUUUUCUCUUCCUUUUAAUUAAAAAAAAUAUUAAGAAAUCAAAAUCUUAGCUGGAUCAUUGGAGUCAGCGUGGGACUUCCAGGCUGGCCCGUGUGCAUGCCAUUAUUUAUUUAUUUUUGUAAUUUCAAAGCAUAUUAUUUUUAUUUUCAAUAUUUUAAGACUGGCGCAUUUUUCAAGCUUAAGAUUCUCUUUAUAAUUAUGGACCUAUGGUUGUUGGUUGUAUCAAGAUUAAUUUAAAUGUUAGAUAAGACUUAACACAAUUUACUAGCAAUUUAUUAAAUUUGAUUUGAUAAAAUUAGACAAUAGAAUUAGCCUGUCAUCUUUUUCAUUUUAUAAUUAUGGCCGGCUUGGUUCUUAUAAAUAUGAAGAUUAAAUUAAAAGAUUAGGUAAUGACACCCACUUACAAUUCAUUAAACUCGAUUUAGUAAAACUAGCUUAUAAAAUUAGCUUGACUUUUUUGUUUUUUAUAAUUAUGGUCGACAAGCUUUUUCUCAAUUUGGGAUGACAAUAAGACGAUUUUUUUUUUACCUAUCUCUAAUAAGACAAAUUUGAAAUUUAAAUAAAUCAAUUAGGAGUGGAUUUGAGAAUUUUUUUUAAAAAAACCUAAGGCAAGUUUGGGAUGAGUUUGAGUAUUACCUAGUCCUGCCAACCCUACCUUGAUUAUACAUAAAAUUAAUUUAAUUUAACUUUUAUUUUCCUAUUUUUAAUAAAAUAAGUUAUAAAAAAUUAUAAUAUUUUAAUCAUUUAUAAAAUAUGUUUAUUUUGAUAUAAUUUAAUUUUUUUAAAAAAAUUAUUAUUAUCAUUUUUUUUUAAGUUAAAGCCAAGGUAUAGAAAAUUUGUAUACCCAUCCUGCCCUACCUCAUCCCAUUUAAUUUUUUUAAUAGGACGACUGACGAGUAUGAAAAUUAUUUUGAAUAAAUGAAAUAGGAGUGGAAUGAGUGCAACCCAUCCCCAACUUGCACUGUUGUCUUCUCCAACGUCAAGAUUAAUUUAAUAAAAGAUUAGGUAAGGGAAUCUAGUUUCAACUUAUUAAAUUCAAUUAAUUUAAAAGGUUAGUCAAGCAAAUCCACUUGCAAAAAUUUAAAAUCGAAAUCCACUUCAAAAUAAUAAUGAUGAGCCAUUUUUUUUCUUCUUGCAUUGAAUUUAUUGCUAAUUGGACUUAAAUAUAAAUAAAACUAAUUAAAAUUUAAAUACCACUCAAUAAAUAAUAUAAUAAAAUAUAAUUAUCUAAUUAAAAUUAAUAAAUACUUAAAUUAGGUUGGAGUUAUUUGGCCUCACCCAAAGUUCAAUUCGAGGUGGAUUUUUUAAUCUACGCAUAAUUUAAAUUGUAAAAGAGGCCAUCCAAGUCUUUUCAAAUUCAUUUAAAUUGUAAAAGAGGUCAUCCAAGUCUUUUCAAAUUCUUAUUGAGUUUGAAUUUCGUUAUGUUGAAACUUCCCAAAUUUGAUUACUAAUUUAAUCCAUGAUAAAUUAAAGUGAUGGUUUAAAAGAAUGAAAUAAAAUUUGAACAUUUGUCGAGAGAUGGACCGUCUUUAGUAUUAGUAAUUGGCUUCUGAUAGAUUUGCAAGGAUGUAGCACAACUACAAGGCUUGGUGCGAUGGGGAGUGUCUGGUGGUCAAGAGUGCAUACAUGAUCCCAACUUACUGUUUAAACUAGGCAAAAAAGUUGUCAUAGGAUGAUAUCUAACUGUAAAUUUACCAACAACAAAUAAUUGAUUUCGAAAUUAGGACUCCCAAGGGUGUUCUCGUUGAGUGGUUAUGCAAUAAAUGAGACACCAAAUUCAUUCUAUGGUUUAAAACAUUUGAUUCAAGAGAUGAUCAUUUAUUAUAAUCUUCAAAUGUUGAUACAAUCAAGUUAUAAACAUUUUACCAAGAUACCUAUUAACUUCGGGAAUCUAAUUAACCUUUGAUAUCUUGAUAUUAUUGUUACAAGUCUAUUAGAAGAAAUGUCUUUAGAAAUUGACAAACUAAAAGAUUUGUAAAUACCGUCUAAUAUCAAUCCCGGAUUGGAUGGGGAGAAAGGUUCAUGAUAUAUGUAGUGAGAUUCUCUUAAUUAUUAUGUUGAUGAAUUUUGAGCCGAGUGUUUUGCCCUAGAGACACCAUCUGAAUGGGCCCUUUUGUCCCAAAGACAACAUCUACAUGGAAAGGAGCAGUCGUUAAUUCAAGGAAAAAUCUUUCCACCUGAAUCUAAACUUUUCCAGAUGCUCGCUCUACAGCAGGUUUGGAUAGCCCAACUGAUUGAGUAGCCUAUCCCAAGAAGUCAAAAUAUGAAGUUUUGUUGAUUUGAAUCCAUUAUUUGGUCCUAAGUCGCUGAAUCUUUCUGAAUUUUCCACAGUAAUCAUUCCAAAUAUCCCAAAAUUUUAGUUCAUUUGGCUGAACUGCUAGGGAGUGAUAAUGACAAAAAACUUUAAUUUGAUUUAGGAGGGUCACCUGUAUCUCAAUUCAUAGAUUCUAAAGAAUGGAUUACUUAACAAGAAGCAAACCCAUCAGAAAUGCUUAACCCUCGAAUCUUACUACGAGAAAAUGGAACAUAAACAGCAAUGACCAAACGCUCAUUUUCAGAUAAUCAACGAAGCUAAAACCGAAGAAAAAUCAAACCAAUUCUUGAAAAAACAAAGCAAUAAGAGCUCUUCAAACUAUCAAAUUUCUAUAAACGCAGUAAAAAUAAAUAAAAAAAAUCCACAACUGCAACUAACUAGCUGAAAAGAAUAGUCCUUGAAAUUACCCUUUCAAUGGAUGACUCAGAGGAACGAACAAACCGGACAACUGGGCUGGCCUUGGGGUCAGGGAGGGCAUAGUUGAAGGUGGAAUUGAGGGGUCUAGAGGACUCAACCGGGGGCUUUGAUGGUGGGUUCGAAGACAAGAUGGUUUCAGUAGGAGGAGAUGGUGGCGGCGGCGGCGGUGAUGAUUCAUGAGAUGAUGAGCUCACGGAAGCGAGACAAGGCGAAAAUCGCCUGUGAUUUGUGGGAGGACGAAGACGAGACAGGGAGAGCGACAGUGGAGUGUAGGACAUUGCAGCGAAGAGGGCCAUCGCAGAGGGAACUGAGAGAGGAAAGGACAAAACAAAAUGAAGAAAGCGUGGUGUGAGCCUGUGAGGAGUCUGAGGACUGACAUAGUGACAUAUGAGGUCAAUGUUUUGUGUGUGUGGAGCCCACGGUUGCUCAUCACGCGGGUAAAUUAACGGUCUGGUUUAAUCGCAUAGCUCACAAUUCUGAGUCCGAAAAUCAUUUUAAAUACUUUCUUAUUUAUUAUGCUCGUAUAUAAAAAACAAAAUAUAUCAAUUAUAAAUUUCACAAAUUAAUUUUUUUAACCGUUGAUUUGGUUAAUAAAUAUAUAUAAUAAAAUUAUACUCUUUCUCGUAAUUAUUUCCAUAUAUAUAUAUAUAUUUCUUGGGUCAGAUUUUCUUAAGAUUAAUUUUGAUGAUUAUGGAGCAAAAAAUUAAAUUUUAGGAGGAUUUAUUCUCAGUAGAAAGGAUUACUUGGAGGAUAAUGUUGAAGGUCUAGGAGCCGAAUAAUCUAAGUAUGAGGAGUUUAAGGUUAUGUUUAGUUCCUUAAAGUUAUUAAGGAAAAAAUAAAUAAAUAUUAAGUAAAUAAAAAAUAUUAAAAAAAAUAAAUUUCUUGUAUUUAAUUUUAUAAUAAAAAAAUCAAACAUAAUUAAAAUGGUAAAAAAUUUAUAUAUUUUUAAAUUGUUAAUCCUUAUAUAAUAAAUGAAAAUAAUUAAAAAAAAUUAUUUUAUUUUAUUUUAUUUACUUUCCAUCACUUUUUUCUUUGAAAUAGUGAAUGAAAAAAUAAAAUUAAAGUUAAUAAAUUAAAUUAAUUUAAUUUGUUAUUUCAAACUUAUUUUAAAUUUUUAUAUAAAGAUAAAAUAAUUUAAAAAUGUAUAGAUUUUUAACCAAUUUUAAUUAUAUUUGAUUUUUUUUUAUUUUUCAUAUUAUAACAUAAUAUGAAAAAAUCACUUUCCUCGUUAUUUUUUUCUUUAUUACUUUUUGAAACAAAUAUAACCUAAGAGUAUGUUUGGUUUCUGAAAAUUUAAGAGAAAAUGUUAAGGAAAGAUAAAACAAAAGAAAAUAAAAAAAUAAAUUCAAAGUCAAUAAUUAUUUUAUAUAUUUUUUAAAAUUCAUUUAACUUAUUUUCCUCUAUUAUGUAAAGAUUAAAUAAAUUUAAAAUACAUCAACUUUUAACUAAUUUAAGUAAUACUUGAUUUUCUUUCGUAUUUUCUAUAUUAAAAUUAAAUAGAAUAAAAUCAUUUUUCUCAACAUUUUUUUUGCCUUAGCAUUUUCCUAAAAUCAAAUAAAACAUAAAAGUUUUGAAUUGAAAGCGUAUGUCAUUGUAUAAUUUUAUUGAUUGGUUGGAUCCUUACUAGGGAAUGAAGUCGUUUUUUGUUUUUUGUAUAUAUUUUGUGUGCUUUUUCUAUGCUAUUGAUAUGCGCUUGGAGAUUUUAAUAAUAUAUAUAUAUAUAUAUAUAUAUAUAUAUAUAUAUAUAUAUAUAUAUAUAUAUAUAUAUAUUUAUAUAUUUUUCUUAACUUCUUAUUUUUAUUUUUAAUGUGAAAGCACUUUUAGAUUUAGCAUGCCCAUAUUAUUAGUUGUAAACAAAUGAUAGAAUUGAAAAGAAUGGUUUGGGCUUUGUUCUCAGAAGAAACAAUGAUGGUAUUAUAAGUAGAGAAAAGGCUACAAAUUAUAGAUGGGAGAUCCUCUCAAUUAGAAGAUGUUAUGAGAGGAAGGUAAAAGAAAGAAUGACAAUAACAAAAAAUAGACACCAACCCAAGGCCCACAGCACAAAUAUCCAAGUCCACCACUGAAACACAAAACAAGGGUGAAGGUGAAGACAAGAUGGAAGGCAUUUGGCUUCAAGGGGAGAUAUGAUCUAUUGGCGAACCUAUCAGCUUCCUGAUCGGUUGCUCUAGACUUUCAACAGAAGGAGCAUCUCAUGUCUCUAGACAGCUUCUCUAUCCUUUUCAACCAAUGGUUAUGUCUCCAUAAACAACCCUUCUUUUAUUUGUGGCAGGUCGAUUUUACAUCUCAAACUUGCAUGGCAUAUUGCUGUUGAAUUGAAACCCACUAAAUUUAUUUUGGCAUUAUGGUCAUCCCCCUCUUAUGUGCUAACUUAUUUCAUUUUCUGCCAGGUUUAGCCCUGAAGCUCUAAACUGGCUGUUCAUCAAGGGAUUGGUUGGCUGGUUUUUGCAAGUCUCACUGCUGAAAGUAUCAUUGCUUUCAUUGGAUAGUGGGGAGGCACCUUUUCUGGACAUUGUGGCAUAGCAGCGUACACUUUCACAGGGAUGUGCUUGGCUGUCCUUGGGAGGGAUCAUGUGGAGCAUCUCAUAUUAUUUCUUGAUGCCCUGGGCAUGCCUAUGCAUGGGAAUAUUCUUGGUAAAGACCAUGAAGAGAAUCCUCUUUGCAGAGGUGAGGAGUUAUGUUUCCAGCAAGCAUCACUAUCUCUUGCUCCUUAUUGCUUUGGCUCAGUUCCCACUUUUCAUAUGGCUUGGCAACAUUAGCCUUCAUUAGCUUUUCUGAACUUCAUCUUUUGAUAAAUGUAUCCGGAAACAAUUUGCUUCUGUGGAAGUCUUAAAAUGUUGUAGUUUUGGUCUAUGAUCUCGGCCAAGUGACCAUUCUCCUGGACUAGAAAUAUUCUUUAAACUUAUGCUAAAGCUUAAAUAUGAUUCAAUUGUUCUCCUAGUUAAAACAGAAACCAAGCACUUGGCUUCCUUGUUCAGAAUUAUUUAUCCUUUUUUUCCCAAUUGAUUGGAAAUGAACUAGUUUAGCACUUGUACUUUGACAUGUUCACUUCAAGCAACUGUAGUUAAUAAAACAAUUGAGCAUGAACUGGAGUUGCCGAUGGAAUCCUGAAAGUGGAUGACAUAAAUUACUUGGUGCCUUCUUCUGGUACAUGAUACUCCUGAACUGAAUGUCAGCAUGGUAUUCAUGAAUCAAGUUUCAAAACAAUUGAGCUCAUAUAGAUCUUGCAUAACUGGAAAUCAAAGUGAAUCUCAUGUUGUUUUUGAUGGGUUUAGAAUAAAAUCAAUGACAUCACUAUGGCCUUUGUCAAUGACUUGGUUUUAAACUCUGGUUCAAAACAUCCACUGCAAUGGGAAAAUGACCUUAACAUCCAGUGAUGACUUCGUUUUAGACUCUGGUUCAAAACAUCCACUGCUAUGAGAUAAUGGCCAUAACAUCUGAUGGACCUCAUUUUCCCAGACACACGGAGAUGGAUUAGGUAGGGGUGACUCUGAAUCACUUGCAUUGAGUCUACUUCGUACAAAGUCCCUGAGGUCAGUUGAAGGUAGUCUGGUGAUCAGCUUGAUAAUUCCAAAUACUUGACGCGAGGCUAGAUGCUUGAGGGUAAAUCAAGAG
rnacentral:lncRNA from 1 species